rnacentral:rRNA from 1 species
UACGAAGGGGGCUAGCGUUGCUCGGAAUCACUGGGCGUAAAGCGCACGUAGGCGGAUCUUUAAGUCAGGGGUGAAAUCCUGGAGCUCAACUCCAGAACUGCCUUUGAUACUGGGGAUCUCGAGUCCGGAAGAGGUGAGUGGAACUCCGAGUGUAGAGGUGAAAUUCGUAGAUAUUCGGAAGAACACCGGUGGCGAAGGCGGCCCGCUGGGCAGUGACUGACGCUGAGGCGCGACAGCGUGGGGAGCAAACG